UUAAUAAGCGGAGGAAAAGAAACUAACAAGGAUUCCCUCAGUAACGGCGAGUGAAGCGGGAAGAGCUCAAAUUUGAAAUCUCCGGUGCUUGCAUCGGCGAGUUGUAGUUGCGAGAAGCACUUUCUAGGUGGAUCGGCGGUGCCUAAGUUGCUUGGAACAGCACGUCGCAGAGGGUGACAACCCCGUCUGUGGCGCCGCCGGCCGCUGACGAUGUGCUUUCGAAGAGUCGGGUUGUUUGGGAAUGCAGCCCAAAAUGGGUGGUAAACUCCAUCUAAAGCUAAAUACUGGCGUGAGACCGAUAGCGA
rnacentral:rRNA from 2 species